CACAGAGGGGGCAAGCGUUGUUCGGAAUUACUGGGCGUAAAGGGCGCGUAGGCGGCCCGCUAAGUCGAACGUGAAAUCCCCGAGCUCAACUCGGGAACUGCGUCCGAUACUGGCGGGCUUGAAUCCGGGAGAGGGAUGCGGAAUUCCAGGUGUAGCGGUGAAAUGCGUAGAUAUCUGGAGGAACACCGGUGGCGAAGGCGGCAUCCUGGACCGGCAUUGACGCUGAGGCGCGAAAGCUAGGGGAGCAAACGGG
rnacentral:rRNA from 1 species